GACGAACGCUGGCGGCGCGCUUAACACAUGCAAGUCGAACGGAAAGGCCUGCUUUCCCUUGUGGAUUGCGGGUACUCGAGUGGCGAACGGGUGAGUAACACGUGAGUGAUCUGCCCCCAACUUGGGUAUAAGCCUGGGAAACUGGGUCUAAUUCCCGAUAGGACUGCAGGGUGGUGCCUGUGGUGGAAAACGAUUUUCUAGUGGUUGGGGAUGAGCUCGCGGCGUAUCAGCUUGUUGGUGGGGUAAUGGCCUACCAAGGCGGCGACGGGUAGCCGGCCUGGGAGGGUGGACGGUCACAUUGAGACUGAGAUACGGCCCAGACUCCUACGGGAGGCAGCAGUGGGGAAUAUUGCACAAUGGGCGGAAGCCUGAUGCAGCGACGCCGCGUGGGGGAUGACGGCCUUCGGGUUGUAAGCUCCUUUCGACCGCGAGGAAGCCACCUGGUUGGAAGGGUGGUGACGGUAGUGGUAGAAGAAGCACCGGCUAACUACGUG
rnacentral:rRNA from 1 species